rnacentral:rRNA from 1 species
UACGGGAGGGGGCUAGGCGUUGUUCGGAAUUACUGGGCGUAAAGCGCACGUAGGCGGCUUGUAAGUUAGAGGUGAAAGCCCAGGGCUUAACCCUGGAAUUGCCUUUAAGACUGCAUCGCUAGAAUUGUGGAGAGGUGAGUGGAAUUCCGAGUGUAGAGGUGAAAUUCGAUAGAUAUUCGGAAGAACACCAGUGGCGAAGGCGACUCACUGGACACAUAUUGACGCUGAGGUGCGAAAGCGUGGGGAGCGAACAGG